UUUCUUUAAUUUUUUUAAAUUUUUGUCAUUUAAUUUAUUUUUAAUUCACUACAAAUUCAAAUUUUUCAUACAAAAUAUUUAUAUUUAACGUGUUCAAAUGAUCAUAAAUCUAAGCAUGUCAACUCUUAAAUUAUAUAUAUACAUACAAAUUUGAUAUUCACUCUUCGACAAAAUAGUAACCGGUGACAAUAAAUAUGAAGUUACCACAUUAGCUAUAUAAGGUGCCUAUGGCCCCAUUUUUCUUUGAGUAGUUUUAUUAUUAUUUAUUUACUUAAUAUAUGUGCAUAUAUUAAAGCUAACCAUCCCAUAUGUUUACAUAUAUAUUUUUAUUUAUUUGACAUUCACCCUCACAAUACGUAUACAUCAUUAUGAAAUGAAACAGAGAUGGGACCUAUGACAGUGGAAGGUAGAACAUGUGAGACCAAAAGUAGUGAAUACAAGGGGAUAUGCUUAUUUGAUGCUAAUUGUGAUAGUAUUUGCAAAGUAGAGCCAGGUUUCGAUGGUGGGCAUUGCCAUGGCUUCUUUCGCAGAUGCUAUUGCACUAAACCUUGUUAGAUGAGCAAUCUAUUAAGAUUUCAUUAUACUUAAAAGAUUGCCUCAUUUCCGCUUGUUAUGUGUGUGCUUGAGAGUUGAGAGAAUAAGAUCAACAACAUAUUGGUGUACAUUGAAUUAUAUUACUAUUAAAUAUAUCUAUAAUUUUUAUGGAUUUGUGCGACCUUGAUCGGUGCUGGCAUAAAAGUUGCUUCAGCGAAUCAUCAUUUAUUGUCAAUCAGUAUUCACAACAAAGGUUUCCAUAAAGGUUAAUGUUGGGCCAUCAAAGAGGUUGUCAAUCAAAUUUUGUCCAAACGGAUUCACAAAAUAGAAUCAUAAUUAUAAAGAGAUAAUAUAAUGGAGAAUAAGAUUAGAGUAGCUCCAUGUGUAAAUUAAUGACUUGGAUUAUGAAAGGGAGACGCGUGGAGAAGAAAUGAAGAAGAAGAAUAAGAGUGGAAAAUAAAGAAAUAAAAAAGGAAAAGAGAGUAGGGAAGUUAAAUUAAAUGAAAAUUAAAAAAAAAGACUGCUCAUGAAGAAAAAUGAUAGAGAUUACUGUAUAAUUUAAUCUAAAAUUUUCAUUUAAAAUAAUGAUUUAACGUGUCAUAUUCACUUGCUAUUACUUCGUUAACAACUCAUUAAAAAAAUACAAUAAAUUAAUACUAUUAAUGACUCUAUCGUAAUUUUUUAAUAUUUAAUGUUCAAAUUAUAAUUUGAACCAUACAUAAUUGAUUAAAUAUAUAGUCUACCCAAAGAUUUAUGGUAAGUAUAAUAAUAUUCUUAUUCAAUUUUUAUAAAAGUUUUAUUUUUUUGACAAUCUAAUUAGAGAUCUCAUUUUAAAUUGUGAUUUCUCAAAUUAAUAUUUUUUUUUGCUUAAUUUGCUACCUAUGUUUAUAAUGAUUAUUUUGAAAUUUGAAUUUGUCAAUUUUCUAAUUUAAUAUCUAAUCUUUUUUUUUAUCAAAUUUAGUUCUCAAAACUUGGCAUUUUUCUAAUUUGACUUUUAAUUGUUUUAUCUAAUUUAAUAUUUAAACUCAAAAUUUAUAUAAAUUACUCCAAUAAAAUUCUUAUCUUUAAAUGUUUCUGCAAAUAGUUGAUGUAUUUAAUGUUUAAAUGCAUCAAAUUUUUAAAAUCUUAGAUUUACUUAUUGAAUUUCAUGCAUGCUAAAUUGCUAUCAUUUAGAGUUUAAACUUGCAAAAUACUAUACGUGCAAGCUUUACACCUAGAACAUCUUUUUGGAGGAAAAUAGGUAGAAAAGUCAACAAUCUAUAGGAGGAUGGGAUCUUGAGGAAAAUGGAUGCAGGAAGAAGGAGCGGUGAUGAUAAACACAAGGAAAGUAAAAAAAAAAUGCUCAAUUGGUCGAAGGUGAUGUGCAGGACAAAGCAAGAGCGAGAGCAUUGGAACACAAUGAAUAUGUCUGUGCUGAGACGCGGAGGGGAAAACUUGAACUCAAACAUUCUUGAAGAUAUGGAAGUGAUCGACAGUAGAUUUGAGAAUGAAAAUAUCCAUUGGUUGGAACGCAGCUUGGUAGGGUGAACUGUGGAAUACAAAGCAUUGCAAGAAAUAGCUAGAAUUAUGACUGAGAUGAUUGACUUGCUUUGCAUGCUUGGAACCUUGGGACUUUUUAGAACAUAGCUCAUAAGUAUGGUGAGUGGUUAGGAGUUGACUUAAACACGAGAAGCUUUAACACUUUUGUGAGGGGUAAUAUCCAUGUUCUAAUAAAUCAGAUUUACAAGGUUAUAGUCAGGGAAGCAGAGCCAAUUGUUAUGGUUAACCAAUGUGAUUGUGUGAAGAAAAACAAGGAUUUGGCCGAAGGAGAAGAUGAAACAAGCUCAGAAGCAAACGCUCCAAGUGAGGAAACUUCUAGCGGUAACCACCUUUCUGUAACAGAUGAAUGUGAACAGUCAAUUAGAAGGAGAGUGAAUGUGGAAGAUGAUGAUGACGUGGAAAAAACCAAUCUCUCAUUCAAUUUAGAAACUUUAAACUAUAACUUCACAUAAUCUAACUAAGUUAAUCCCUCUUCCCCACUAACUAUAUAUUCCUAUGCUAGGCAAGUUGGGUGAAGUCACUAAGAACAAACUUAUUGGGUCGAUUAGGGCAUCAAGUAUAUUCUUAUUCUAGCUGCAAAUUAACUUGUUCGUUAGUGCUACUAAAGUUAAUUAUAAUCUAUUCAGUUUAGAUCUAAAUCAUAAUUUUCUUUUCUAAGACAAAUCAAGAUUAUCAAAUUAAUGCAACUUGGUGAUCAAGUAUGUAGAUUAAAUAAGCAUAUAAUUGAAUCAAUAAUUAGCAAAGAUCGAAAAACUCAAAGAGAAAAUAAUUUAAUUAACUAAAAAAUAGGAUCUAUUAUUGUUCCAAGAAAAUAGAGUUUAGUUCAUACUAAGUUGAAAAAACCACACAAAAAGAUAUUUAGAACAGACUUUCAUACAAAAAAAAAGUAAAAAAUAAUCUAGAGAUAAAAAUAGUAAUAGAAUUUAUGUCGAGCAUCCAUAUAUCUUUUUCUUCUUGUUUUUUUCAAGCUUAAAGUUCCCCUUAAUGUGAGAGAGUUGAUUUUUAGCCUCCAAGUGAUUUCUUCUUUUCCUCCUUCCUUUUCUCUUAAAUCUCAUCACCAUUAUUUUAGGGUUUUAAUUGAACCGCUUCACUGCACGCAAAAUUAUACUAAAAUAACUCUAAAUAUGAGGGUUAUUAUGGUGUCAACUACAACAACAUAAUGAACAUUUUCAGCUACGAAAAUCGUGAAGAUAAUGCUUUGAAAUAAAAUGAAAGAUGAUUUUCUUCCGAGUUACUUGAUGGCAUACAUCGAGAAGGACAUUGCUCGACAAUUUUCAAUCAAUUCUUUCAUUGAUGACUUCAAUUUAAUGAAAAAUCAAAGAAUUCAACUUAGGAUGUUCAACUUUAAGAAAUAGUGUUAUAUAUUAAGUUACUUUGAUUUAUGUUUUCUUUUAAGUAGACUAUAUUAACAUUUAAAAAGUAAUAAAUUAAGAUUAUACUUAUGUUUCGCCCCCUUGGAAUCAAAUCCUAAAUCCAUCCAUGGUGGGUUUUUUAUAUAUAAUAAAAAAGAAAGAAAAGAAAAGACACAAAGCAGUAAAAAAUAUAGUCAAAAUGUUAAGCUAAACUUAACGUCAAUGGGUGUCAAGAUUCGUUUAAAUAAAUAAAACAAAACCUGACACCCAUGAGUAUUGAGAUCCUAAUUAAAAUUUGUCUAUUAACAUUCUCUUUCCUCAUCUCUGGAUCUUGAGGAAAUUCAUUAAUAAAAAGCCUAUACUAAACUCGCACCUAUGGAUGUCGAGAUACUCCAAAAAGUAAAAUUUUGGAAAAUAAAUUUUAUAGAAGCUUAGUUUGGGAAACAAUAAAAAAAAUCCCUAUAUCCAAGUUUGAAAAAAAUUUGAAUAACUAUUAUCAGAAUAAAAGAAAUGGUAAACUACAAAAAUAGUCACUUUUGUUUACAUCAGGUUACAUUUUAGUCACUUAUGUUUAAAAUAUUACGUUUUAGUCACUUAUGUUAUUAUUUUGUUACGAAGUGAUCACUCUUCCAGUAAGUUCUGUUAUCUCACUAACGGUAAUCUUACGUGGCAGUCUAACUAGAUUUUAAGUGCCAACUUAAAUUUCCUAAUAGGAUGAGAAUAAAUUUUUAAUUAAAUAAAUUUAAUUAAUUAAAAAUUUUAAACCCUAAAUCUUAGUUAAAAAAAUUCAUCUCCCCUUUUUUUUUAGUUUUCUUUUUCAGGAUACCCUUCCUUGGAACUACUGUGACUGUGUUCCUCCUCAUGCCCGGUUGUUUCAGAUGUUAAAAAAAUCAGAACUUGAACUACUUUCCCUACCCUUGUCUUCAAGCAACUCGGCAAAUAUUCCCAUUUGAACCCCAUUCUCACUAAAGCUUUCAUUUUUCUCUUUAAUGAGUCCUCCUUUCUCAACCAAACCCUCCAUUUCAAUUUGCUGUUCUUCAAAAGGACCAGGUGAAGGACAAAACAGAGUGAUUUACUAUCAUACCACUAUACUCUAACCUCUGUGAGCAACACACAUUGGACUCCAUAGCUUUGUAACACAAGCUUCUAAAAGAUUUUGAAACCCAAAAGCUCUUAGCUUUUAGCUUUGGCGCAGGCAUUCAAAGCUUCAACUGGUGAUAUUGUUGUUGUUGCUGCUGUUUGGUAGAGCUAUUUACUCUUGGUUGGUGAAAGCUCCUCCAUCCAUAAGGUCGCCAACAUGUCUACUUCAAUGGGGUAAAGUGGAAGCAAAAAAAAAAAAAAAAUGCAGAGAAAUUUGGUGUGGGGUUUUCCUUCUUUUUCCUUUUAUCUUUUUUUAUGUUACAGAAAAAAGGCAGAAGCUUUAUGUUCUUAAAUAUAUGGAGUCAAGCUGAUGAUUACUGAGGCCUGCUCAAAGACAUGACUGCUUUCUUAGUCAACCGAAAAAUAAAACUAAAAAAAGGAAGAUAGAACGGUUUUUUAAUUAAGAUUUAAGGUUUAAAAUUUUUAAUUAAUUAAAUUUAUUUAAUUAAAAAUCUAUUCUUAUCUUAUUAGAAAAUUUAAGUUGACACUUAAAAUUUAGUUUGACUGUCAUAUAGGAUUACCGUUAAUGAGAUAACAGAACUUAACGGAAGAGUGAUCACUUCGUAACAAAAUAAUAACAUAAGUGACUAAAACGUAACAUUUCAAACAUAAGUGACUAAAAUGUAAUCUGAGGCAAAUAAAAGUGACUAUUUUUGUAGUUUACCCUAAAAGAAAAUACGAAGCAUAAUAAAUUAUUAAUUGAAAUAUCUUCGAUCCUAAAAUGAAAUAAAUUUAAACAGAAUUUACAUAUUUUUAGAUUUAAGCAAUCCCUUUUUCUCGAUAACUACCUCAACACUAACCCUUAUAUAAACCCAUCCCAUUGUUUUAUUUUCACUGCAUUAACAUCUCUCUCUCUUUCAAUUAAUAAAUUCCAAAUGGAUCGUUCAGUUCUAGUUGCUUUUCUUCUUUUAUCAUUUCUUCUAGCCACAGGUUUUCCUUUAACCUUUUUCAAGUUAUUGUCUUUUCAAUUAAUUUCUUGAUUUCUCAUGAUAUCAUAAAAUAUUUGUAUUUAACUCAUUCAACUAGGCAUCACAUAAUGGAAUAUUUAGAGAAAAGAUGUUAAAUGUACCAUGCUUUAUGUAUAUUUCUUUAAAGAAAAAAAAAUGUGUUUUCGUAUUUAACAUUGACUCUUUUGAAUAACAUGUUCUUUGAUUUUCUUGCAUUUAUUUGUUAUGAUGCAAUCGUGUGAAACGAAAUAGGGAUGGGGCCUAUGUCAGCGGAGGCUAAAACAUGCGAGGCUGAAAGCGGUAAAUUCAAGGGGAUGUGCAUGAGUUCUACCAACUGUGCUAGUGUUUGCAAAUCAGAGCCUGGUUUUGAUGGUGGACAUUGCCAAGGCUUUCGUCGCCGAUGCUUGUGCACUAAGCCUUGUUAAACCACUAAGCUUUGUUAGAUCAGUAAUCUAUUAUAUUUCAUUGUCACCAAGAUGGCCCUUUUUUUUGCUUAUCAUGCAUUAUAUGCUUGAGAGUUGAGAGAAAUAAGACAUCUCCAACUUGUUUUGUAAACCAGUAAAUUUUUUAUUAGAAUUAAAUUAAUCUUUUAUGAUGUUUAUAUUGCACAAAAAAGAUUAAUAUUGAUGGUUAAAAAAACCUCUCAAGAUUAGUUUCAAAAUAUUUCAUUUUGGUCAAAAAUAAACAUAUGAUGUCUGUCGAAACCAUCUUUUUGAAAAAUAAAAGUUUUAAGGUUGUUGACUUUUUAAAAAAAAUUAAAAUUGUGAGUCGCCACCAAUUUUCAUUAGGGUGUGAUUGGAUCACCUAAAAAAAUGGCAUUGGUCUACGAGUUUUAGAAAAACGGAUCUGGGAGUCAGUUACGUAUGAGGAAGGAUUAGCACCCUCGUAACGCCCAAAAUUGGUACCUAGUUAAUUAAUUAGUGUCUUAAGGUCGAGAAUUUGGAAAAAAAACGUAAUUCAUAGCAAAACUUAAAAGGCUACGUAUUAAGACCCUUAUUAUUUCAGAGAAAGAAGAUACCACACCCAAUGCGUUAGGGCACAACAUUCUAAUUUUCCCCCAAAAAUGAAUUGGGCCAAAAUACUUGUACAAUAAAACUUUAAAGGAACACUCACUUAUCCAAGAUUUAAGAAAUCACACCCAAUACGUUAGGGCACGAUUCCUUUAGAAUCUCAAACUCGGAAUAUUUCCUUUACUUUAAAAGAACAUCCACUUAUCCAAGAUUUAAGAAAUCACACCCAAUACGUUAGGGCACAAUUCCUUUAAAAUCCCAAACUCGAAAUAUUUCCUUUAUUGUUUUUAGAAAAAAAUUUCAUUUCGAGAAAUCAAUGCGUCACAUCCAAUACGUUAGGACACAACGUGUUGAAUUCCCAAUAAUGAAUUCUUAUUUUUUGAUUAAAGAGAAACGCUCGAUUGUUAGACUUAACGAAGAAAAUCGGAACCCAAUACGUUAGGGCUCAAUUUCCUUGAAAAUCCUAAAUUCAAGCAUUCUCUCAAUUUUGAAAAGUUUGAAAUCGAGUAAAGAAUGAUGUGAUGCUAUAUUAAAUAUACAAUGCAAUAAUAAAUAUUACAAAGGCCUAGAAAUAAUAUAAAUAAAUGAAUAAAUAAAAUCAAUAUACAUAAUAAAAAUAAUCACAUACAAAAUAUCAAAUAAAUCAUUAAAAACAAUUCUUUUUAACAUAUAAACGAAAACAUGAACUAAUAAUAGAAUGAAGAAAAUAAACAAAAUAUAAAGAAUAAAAGGCACAUAAUAUAUACAUUGAAAUUAAAAGCCAUACACAUAAUUUACAUAUGUAACUUUGGAUUAAAAUUUAUAAAAGCAGAAUAUAUAAUGCAUUUGUGAAAAUAAAAUAUAAAUUAUAAAGUAAGUGUUAAAAAAUACAUAUAUUUGAGCAUUUAAAAAAUAUAUAUAUUCAUAUAUAUAUACAAGUAUAUAAAAAACUGGUUGAAAAUAUUAAUAUGUAUACAUACAUAUAUAUACAAAGAUAAAUAUAACAUAUAUAGAUUAUAAAAAAAAAUAAUUAUAUAUAAAUAAAAUAAAAUAAAAAUAAUUACCUCAUAUUAAAAAAAUAAAUAUGCGAAAAAUAUUAGUUUUUUAAAAAAAUAUAAAUACGCACAUAGAAACAAGUAUACAUAUAUAUAGCUAAAAUAAUAAUAAUAAUUACAUAUGAAAAUAAUAAUAAUAAUUACAUUAAAAAAAUUAACUCAUUUUAAAAAAAUAUAAAAAGGAUUAUAUUGAACUACAAGUAAACAAAUUUGGGGUCAAUCUGCAAAUAAAUAAAAUUUGGAGGACUAAAUUGAACGAGCGAAUUACAUAGAGGGGCUGGAAGGGAAAUUUUCCCUUCUCCUCUAAAACGGUGUCGUUCAAAAGGAUUAAAUUGGAAUUUAAAAUAAACAAAAGGGUAAAUUAAAAAAUAAAGAAAACUUAAUUACAAAAACAUUAAAAGGCGGAGGGGCUAAAUAAAAAAUAAAUAAAAUUCGCAGUGGUAUCACCUUCUCUUUUUUUUUUAAAUCGUGAAUAAGUAAAAAAAAUAAUCGAAAGAAAAAAAUAGUAAGCCACCUUUAAAAAACUGCCAAUCGUUCUUUUUUAUUCCUCCUCAUCUUUCCUCUUUUUCUUUUUUCUACAAUGAAGGGAGAAGCCUCUAUUUAUAGUUGAGUCUCCCCAAAUCAAACGGUACAGAUCAAUUACAUCAACGGCUGAGAUUAAAGGGUAUCUACAAAUUAAAUCUUUAAGAUUACAAAAUCAUAUAUUCUAAGAUUGCAUAUUAUAUCUAAGAUUGCAUAUAUCAUAUUUAAGAUUGCAUAUCAUAUCUAAUAUUGCAUAUCCUCAAAAAUUAUGUUUUCAUAUGUGAACUCAGGCUAAAAUUGAGUAUUACAAUGUUAAUUGAAUCUUAAUUCGAUCGACAUAGUAAGAACUCUCCUUAUUUGCGAACCCCAUCACCAUUAGACAUUAGAUCUCCCGUAUCAACCCAAAUUCCACUAUUUUCCUAACUACAAUAAGGGGCAUAAAUGACUGCCACAACUGAUACAAAUUAACACCUCUGCCAUAUAAUAGUAAUAAUCCCAAUACAUUUAAUAUCCUAUCAUCAUCACCCUUCCCCUCAUUAGCUCCAACCGACAGUACUAAAUCCUUAACUGCUUGGAGAAUUCUAUCCACCUCUUUGGUAACAUCUUCCUUAUCACCACUGAAUGUAUCCAUGGAAGAAUUCAUAUCUGUCUGUAUCACAGCCACAGUAUUGAUUAAUCACACUAGAUCGAAUUCAUUAACAUAGACACUGUACCGCUCAUUCCCAACUUGAAGUUGAAUAAUCUCAUCAAUACGAUAAGAACAAUUUGUUAAUUUUAACUUGUAUAUUGGCUUUCAUAAAAGAACUAGGUUGCACAGUCCCUUAAUCAACAGAGACGAAUUCAUCCCACCUUGCCUAAAUAUUCUGGAAUGUAAAAACAUUCCAAGCAUGAAUAGGAACGCCCCUACAGGCAAGCUACACUCUUCGACUCUCUACCUUAAUUUUAUCCGACCACCACUGCUUAUGCAUGAAGCAACUAUCUAGGAUGUCCCACUGAUUUGCUUUGUCAAACUCCAACAUCUCCACACUCUCGAACACCAUCAGGAUCAUAGACCCAGAUAGUCUCAUAAUCGUUGCUCCCAUAAUAUCCUUUUCAUAAAUAUCUUUCUCUAGCUCAUCAAUCCUAUAGAAACGUCUGCAACACCCAGUCAUACUUCUAUGCAAAACAUGCAGUUUCUCCACAUCUAUCACACCUGGAAUGAUCUUUUCAUCGUACGCUAUAACCUUCUCCCUGGACUCUUCUUCCGUAUGGAUGGAGUUCUCUUGAGAGCUUAACUCUUUAAGACCUGUUUCUUUCUCUAGAACGAUGAACGACUUUUGAAUCUCACCAAGUUAACAAUGAGUCAAUGAUUAAACAUUCAAAACUCGUCCAUUCUAUCAAUGGCCCUUUUCGCAUCCUCCAUACAAGCGUACCUGAUGAAACUAAAUCUUUUUCCUGAUCUACUCUUUUUGCGUGGCAUGAAAGCAUCCAACACUUUCCAUGAUAUCCAAACAAUUGCUUCAGCCAACGCCAAUUUAUCCCAUCCGGGUUAUUACUAACAAAGACCGUAACACAGCCCAUCGUCUCUAAGAUCAUCCAUAUAGUUUUAUCUCACUUCCUUUACCGCCUCCUGUUCUUUUCCUCUUUAGUUCAUGCUUUUGGCUGAGUUUCAGUGACUCGUUCUUUAGCUUAGCUUUGUUGCAGGUAUUAGAGGUUGGCUUUCUUGACAGUCCUGUCAUUGUCCAUUGAUAUGCUACUAUUUUUCAUUGACCCAACGAGUAACCCAGAGUCAGCUCCAUCCUACCCAAAUAAUAUUUGAUACACAUUUUACUCUUCAGUUAAAUCUAAACAUAUAUCUUAUCACUAGACUCACUUGUUCGCUCUAUUAAUUAGUACAAAAUGGACUCUCGUUCAGUUUCAACUGCUGUUCUAUUCCUGUUGGUACUUCAGUAACAGGUAAUUCGAACAGAAUGUAUAUUUAUAUUUAAUAUUCACUUAUUCGAAUAAUAUAUAUAUUGCGUGGUUUGAUGAUAAAAUUACGUGAAAUGAAAUAGAGAUGGUACCUAUUGCUGCAAGCACUAAAUUCAAAGGCAUGUGCCUAAGUUUUGCUAACUGUGCUAAUAUUUGCGAGGGGGUGCCAGGUUUCAUCGGUGGACAUUGCCAAAGCUUCCCUUGUCAAUGUUUUUGUACCAAGUCUUGUUAGAUGUGCAACCUAUUAUAUUCCAUUGUGCUGUGUGCUUGAGAGUUGGAGAGUAUUAAGAUGUCUUCAACAUAUUUUGUAUAUGAAUUUUUUAUAUUAAUAAUUGAUUUUUUAUAAUGUUUUUGUUGCAAUUGUAUACACACAAUUGUAUAUGAAUUUAUAUUUAAUAUUAAAUGAUCUUUUAUGUGUUUGUUUGUCCAUAUAUUGAGAUUUUCGGUUUGUUGGAUUCUUUCACCGAUUUUAAAAUUGUAAGGAUUGGCCAUACGAGUAAUAGAGUUGCAGAUUGCAUUUGUAAACUUGUGUUGAAUAAAUGUUGUACCCUUUCUUUCAACAUGGAGCAUCUUUAAGAUAUCCAUGACUUUGAAAUUGUUGAUUCUUAUUAAUAUGAGGUAGCGACUUUUAUGCCCAUUUUAUAAAAAAAAAAAAGUUUUCAAACACAUACUCAUCUAAUAAAAUUUUUAAUUUUGUUUAAAAAUUAAAUUUAUAUUUUUUUAUUUAAAUAUCAUAUUACUAGUUACAUAUUCAUCCUAAUCACCUAUUCUUAUUUAUAAGCUAAAAGUGUCCACGAUUAGGUUAAGGGUUUCUAUACAUUAAACAUAGUAACAUAUUAAAUUUUAUUGUUUAAAACGUAUUAUAUUGUAAUCUAAUUUGAUUUAUACCAAAUAUCAAAUUAUUAAUUUGAUAUUUUAAUAAUAAAUAUAAAAAAAUAAACUUGAAUAAUUAUAUAAAAUAUUUAACAAAAUUUUAAAAACCAAAAGAAAAAACCCGAAUACAUAGGCUAAGUUGUUGUGGUGUAAAUGAAUGUGAUUUAAGACCACUAGAAAAAUAACAAAUGUGGGAUUCAUCCUUUUUUCUCGAUAACUACUACGAUUUCAAUGCUUAUAUAAAUGUAUCUUAAUGAUAUGCUUUCAUUGCAUCAAAAACUCUCAAUCUCUCUCUCUCUCACACAUAUUCACACUUUUAAUAAUAUUUAAAAUGGAGAAAUCUUCCCGUUCAAUGUCAUCUUUAGUCCUUCUUAUGUUGGUUCUUCUAGCAACAGGUUUUCUCUUAAUUGCUUUUUUAAAUUCUUGUCAUUUAAUUUAUUAUUUAAUUCACUACAAAUUCAAAAUUUUUCAUACAAAAUAUUUGUAUUUAACAUGCUCAAAUGACCAUAAAUCUAAGCAUGUCAACUCUUAAAUUAUAUAUAUACAUACAAAUUUGAUAUUCACUCUUUGACAAAAUAGUAACCAGUAACGAUUAAUAUGAAGUUACCACACUAAGUAUAUAAGGUGCCUAUGGCCCCAUUUUUCUUUAAGUAGUUUUAUUAUUAUUUCUUUAUUUAAUAUAUGUGCAUAUAUUAAAGUUAACUAUCCCAUAUGUUUAAAUAUAUUUUUUAUUUAUUUGACAUUCAUCCUCACAAUACGUAUACAUCAUUAUGAAAUGAAACAGAGAUGGGACCUAUGACAGUGGAAGGUAGAACAUGUGAGACCAAAAGUAGUGAAUACAAGGGGAUAUGCUUAUUUGAUGCUAAUUGUGAUAGUAUCUGCAAAAUAGAGCCAGGUUUCGAUGGUGGGCAUUGCCAUGGCUUCUUUCGCAGAUGCUAUUGCACUAAACCUUGUUAAAUGAACAAUCUAUUAGGAUUUUAUUAUACUUAAAAGAUUGCCUCAUUUCCGCUUGUUAUGUGUGUGCUUGAGAGUUGAGAGAAUAAUACAUAUUGGUGUACAUUGAAUUAUAUUACUAUUAAAUAUAUCUAUAAUUUUU
rnacentral:lncRNA from 1 species